UACGGGGGGGGCAAGCGUUGUUCGGAAUUACUGGGCGUAAAGGGCUCGUAGGCGGCCCACUAAGUCCGACGUGAAAUCCCCAGGCUUAACUUGGGAACUGCGUCGGAUACUGGUGGGCUUGAAUCCGGGAGAGGGAUGCGGAAUUCCCGGUGUAGCGGUGAAAUGCGCAGAUAUCGGGAAGAACACCCGUGGCGAAGGCGGCUCUCUGGGACGGUACUGACGCUGAGACGCGAAAGCGUGGGGAGCGAACAGG
rnacentral:rRNA from 1 species